UGUAAAUGUGCUGUGUCUCAGUUGUAACCUGCUGAAAAUACCCUCCCUCUCCUUAAAUCAUAAUUGUUACAUUUUCAGUUUGAAGAUUGAGCAAAAAUGUACCCGUGGUUUUCAGACAAGCCAAAUUUGGCAGGAUAACCGCGAACCCUGCAACUCUGGGGAAAAGCGUUCUGUGAUUGGACUGCAAGAGCAGAAGAUUUAGACAAACAAGUAUCAGCAGUUACAGCGCGAUAGGGCGGGACUAAGCUUUGGAUGAUGUUCGGAGAAAAGACGCUAAAAUUGGCUCUAAGAUUGAAUGAACUGAAUUAAUAUACAGGUUAUGGUUUGUGCUCGUUUCUUGGACGGAGGGACCAAUGCAGUGAGCACUGUGUCAACCAGCUGGAUAACUGACUCUGACCCAACAGAAACCUCCCCGCAGUCCUUCUAAAGUUAUCUGGCAAGGUGAAACUGGGGAAGGAAGGCACCAUCACUGUCUCAGCCCGUUGUUGGAAGACUGCAAAAGCACAAGCUACAGCCAGUGGGACGGCACGAGUGCUACUGAUGGAACUCUUUAAUGUUGAUGUUUUUCUGAACUUUAAGCAUACCUUUAUCUGUUUUUGUAUUAUACAUAUAGUAGUAUAUGGUAGUAUAUAUUCUUGAAUUUAUAGUGAAGUGUAUUGUUAAAUAUAUAAUACAAUAAAUUGUGAUGUGUGGUAAUAGAUGGUAUGUGUAUUAUUGAUAGUAAUAUAUUAAAAUAUAUUCUUGAA